rnacentral:rRNA from 1 species
GGACUACCGGGGUAUCUAAUCCCGUUUGCUCCCCUGGCUUUCGCGCCUCAGCGUCAGUGGAGGGCCAGCGGACCGCUUUCGCCACCGGCGUUCCUUCCGAUAUCAACGCAUUUCACCGCUCCACCGGAAGUUCCGUCCGCCCCUACCUCCCUCGAGCCGCGCAGUAUCGGAGGCCCUUUUCCGGUUGGGCCGAAAGAUUUCACCCCCGACUUGCGCGGCCGCCUACGCGCCCUUUAAGCCCAGUGAUUCCGAACAACGUUCGCACGGUUCGUCUUACCGCGGCUGCUGGCAC